CAGUCCUGUAAUAUCCUCUUUCAAUGUAUGUCUAACCUAUAACUCAACAUCUGUUUAGAAAUCAAUAUUGAAACUAAACACACAGUCGUUCUAAUCAUGAAAUCCAAUCUUAAUAACAUUCAAAUUCUAUCAUGCUUCAAAAGUAGCUAGGAUUCACAAUCGAAAAUAAACCUAACAUGAAACACAUAGGACUAAGGUACUAGCACCAAUUCCACUAAUUUCAACAUGUUAUUACAAAAUCAUGAGAGAACACCAUAUUCUAGGCUAUUAUGAACUACAUACAUGUUAUUGGCAGAAUUAAAAGAAGAACAGAUGCAUUUCAACAAUCAAUCAAAUUUCAUUUCAUGUUGUCGAACUUCUGUUUCAAAUCGCAUUCAUAAAGCUGAAGAAUACCUGGAAAUGGAAAAGGGAAUAAAAGUCGCGAGGGAUCAGCAGUCAAUAACAACAGCAAACUAGCUUUAGCACUGCAACAGUAUUGAGUUAAAAAUGAUCAAGCCCAGCUCCAGAGAUUCCGGAUUUAAACCAUUUGGGCCAGGAUCUACUAAAUUGAUUCACAAAUGAAGAAGCUUCAAAAUCCUAACAUGAAUUGAUGGAACAUUAGAAUUUUUAGCUCAUGGAGUAUUUUCUCUGAUUUCUCUCUCUAAUUUUCUGUGUUUCAGCUCUAAGAUCUGAAGAACUCUUUCUCUCUCUCUCUCUCUAAGAUAUGAAAACUGUUUUUUGAUUUCAAAA
rnacentral:lncRNA from 1 species